rnacentral:rRNA from 1 species
AGUCUUGAUCCGGGCUCACAAUCAACGCUGGCGGCGUGCCUAACACAUGCAAGUCGAACGAGAAAGUGGAGCAAUCCAUGAGUAAAGUGGCGACCGGGUGAGUAACACGUGACUAACCUACCUUCGAGUGGGGGAUAACCUCGGGAAACCGGGGCUAAUACCGCAUAAUGCCUUUGGGUUAAAGGAGCAAUUCGCUUGAAGAGGGGGUCGCGGCCGAUUAGGUAGUUGGCGGGGUAACGGCCCACCAAGCCCGUGAUCGGUAGCCGGCCUGAGAGGGCGCACGGCCACACUGGAACUGAAACACGGUCCAGACUCCUACGGGAGGAAGCAGUGGGGAAUUUUGCGCAAUGGGGGAAACCCUGACGCAGCAACGCCCCGUGGAGGAUGAAGUCCUUUGGGACGUAAACUCCUUUCGACCGGGACGAUUAUGACGGUACCGGUGGAAGAAGCCCCGGCUAACUUCGUGCCAGCAGCCGCGGUAAUA